GAGAAGUGAAGAAGAGCGUUCGGAGGAUGCCUAGGCGUCAAGGGCCGAAGAAGGACGCGGUACACUGCGAAAAGCCUUGGGGAGCCGUGUGCAGGCGACGAUCCAAGGGUAUCCGAAUGGGGAAACCCGCCUGGUAGAAGAUCAGGCACAGGGUGAGGAACACAUAAUCACCUUGGGGGAACGCGGGGAACUGAAACAUCUUAGUACCUGCAGGAGCAAAGAGUAUUCCCUGAGUAGUGGCGAGCGAAAGGGGAGGAGUCCAAACCAACUGUGUGAGAAAGACUGCGGUCGUUGCAUAGUUGGGGUAGAAGGCCACACCGGAGGGUUCCGCAGAGCCCUCACAACAGAAGCCAAACCGAGUUGAAGGACACUGGAAAGGUCCGCCAGAGACGGUGAAAGCCCGGUAAACGGGGAGCGGUGGCGUUGGGGGUGAGCCUGAGUACCACGGGACACGAGGAACCUUGUGGGAAGCAGGGCAGACCACUGUCCAAGACUAAAUACCCUUGAUGACCGAUAGAGGACAAGUACCGUGAGGGAAAGGUGAAAAGAACCCCGGCGAGGGGAGUGAAAUAGAACCUGAAACCGAGCGCUUACAAGCGGUCGAAGCACAAUGCCCUGAGGGGCAAGUGUGACGGCGUGCCUUUUGGAGAAUGAGCCAGCGAGUUACUCUGUGUGGCAAGGUUAAGGCAGGAACAGCCGCAGCCGCAGGGAAACCGAGUCUGAAGAGGGCGACGGUCCCGGAAGGGACAGAGUCGCACGGAGUAGACACGAAACCAGGUGAGCCAUCCAUGGUCAGGCUGAAGCGGGGCUAACCCCCCGUGGAGGGCCGCACCUUUCGCUAUUGCAAAAGCGUGGGAUGAACUGUGGAUAGGGGUGAUAUGCCAAUCGAACUUGGAGAUAGCUUGUUCUCCCCGAAAUAGCUUUAGGGCUAGCCUCGUGGGAUGAGUGAUGGAGGUAGAGCACUGGAUGGGCUAGGGGCCGCAAGGCUACCAAACCCAACCAAACUCCGAAUGCCAUCACUAGAGAACACGGGAGUCGGACUACGAAUGAUGAGAUCCGUAGUCGAGAGGGAAAGAGCCCAGACCGUCGGCUAAGGUCCCGAAAUGUAAGCUAAGUGGGAAACGAUGUGGGAUUGCAGAGACAGCCAGGAGGUUGGCUUAGAAGCAGCCACCCUUUAAAGAGUGCGUAAUAGCUCACUGGUCAAGCGAUUCUGCGCGGAAAAUGUAACGGGGCUCAAGCUUACUACCGAAGCCACGGGUCCUGCGGAAGCAGGAUGGUAGGGGAGCGUUCAGUAGGCGAAGAAGCUGUACCGAGAGGAGCAGUGGAGCGUACUGGAGUGAGAAUGCUGGCAUGAGUAGCGAGAAAUACGUGAGAACCGUAUUCGCCGAAAGCCCAAGGAUUCCGACGGAAGGGCAGUCCGCGUCGGGUUAGUCGGGCCUAAGCCGAGGCCGCAAGGCGUAGGCGAUGGACAUCCGGUUAAUAUUCCGGAACCACGUAGAGGGAGCGAAGGGGAGACGCAGGGAGGUAGGUCAACCCCCCGGAUGGAAGAGGGGGGCCAAGCGUGUAGGCUGAAGAGGGUAGCAGGGAAAUCCGCUACCGGAGGUCGAGGCGUGAAGGGGACACCUACGGGUGGAAGUGGCUGAGCCUAACUGCCAAGAAAAGCCUCUAAGCGAAGAACUCUAGGUGCCCGUACCGCAAACCGACACAGGUGGGCAGGUAGAGGAUACCAAGGCGAACGGGAGAACCUUCGUCAAGGAAUUAGGCAAAUUAACCCCGUAACUUCGGGAGAAGGGGUGCCUUUCAGCGUGAGACUCAGACGAGAGGAGUGCUGGAAGGUCGCAGUGAACAGGCUCUAGCGACUGGUUAACAAAACCACAGGUCUCUGCCAACUCGAAAGAGGAAGUAUAGGGGCUGACACCUGCCCAGUGCCGGAAGGUUAAGGGGAGAGGUUAGGCCGUGGUAACACGGACGAAGCUUCGAACCGAAGCCCCGGUGAACGGCGGCCGUAACUAUAACGGUCCUAAGGUAGCGAAAUUCCUUGUCGGGUAAGUUCCGACCCGCACGAAUGGUGUAACGACUAGAGCACUGUCUCGACGAAGGACCCGGCGAAAUUGAAGACGCGGUA
rnacentral:rRNA from 1 species